rnacentral:tRNA from 1 species
CAGGGAGACAACAAAAUGUUUAAUAUUAUUAUUUUGUCACCUUAGGUCGAUCGGUAUCUCACGUUCUUAACUUAUUAAGAAUUUCAUUUCCUAAGUUUUUCUAGGUCACACCCAUUAUUUUCCUGGGCCAUUAGCUCAGGUGGUUAGAGCGCACCCCUGAUAAAGGUGAGGUCCCUGGUUCAAGUCCAGGAUGGCCCAUAUCUCUAUGUUGGGGGUAUAGCUCAGUUGGUAGAGCGCCUGCUUUGCAAGCAGGAUGUCAGCGGUUCGAGUCCGCUUACCUCCACUGAUUACCACCUCUUCCAUGAUCGGUAGAAAGGAAAUGUUUUGAGUUGUGAUCAAAUUCUGAACGAAUCUAGCUUCCUAAUGAAAUUAUUAAGAUGCUGGACUCAUUGAAUUAAUAUCAUUGUUUUCAGAGAACCUUGACAACUGCAUAGAUUAUUUUUUUAAAGACAAUAAGCAUCUUUAAUGAUGCAGUUUUAUUAUUUGUGCGAAUGCAUUAAUAACAAUUCUAUUAAGCUGAUGCUUCAAAUUUGAAGUUAUU